CGGUGGAGUAUGUGGUUUAAUUCGAUGAUACGCGAGGAACCUUACCUGGGCGUCGAACGUAAGAUGACUGUAGGUGAAAGCUUACAUCUCUUCGGAGCAUUUUACGAGGUGCUGCAUGGUUGUCGUCAGCUCGUGCCGUGAGGUGUCGGGUUAAGUCCCAUAACGAGCGCAACCCUACCCUUUUAGUUGCCAUCAGGUAAUGCUGGGGACUCUAAAGGAACUGCCUACGCAAGUAGUGAGGAAGGCGGGGAUGACGUCAAAUCAGCACGGCCCUUACGUCCAGGGCUACACACGUGCUACAAUGGCCGAUACAGAGGGCAGCUACCUGGUGACAGGAUGCAAAUCUCCAAAGUCGGUCUCAGUUCGGAUCGGAGUCUGCAACCCGACUCCGUGAAGUUGGAUUCGCUAGUAAUCGCGCAUCAGCCAUGGCGCGGUGAAUACGUUCCCGGGCCUU
rnacentral:rRNA from 1 species